rnacentral:misc_RNA from 1 species
GAUGAAGAACGCAGCGAAAUGCGAUAAGUAAUGUGAAUUGCAGAAUUCAGUGAAUCAUCGAAUCUUUGAACGCAUAUUGCGUCCCUUGGCAUUCCGGGGGGCACACCUGUUCGAGCGCCAUUUCGACCCUCAAGCACAGCUUGGUGUUGGGCACGGUCCCGGGGGACCCGCCCGUAACUUGUAGGCGGCCGACGCCCGCGCCCCCAGCGUAGCAAGCUCACGCAUUCGCUCGGGGACGGCGCGCCUGGCGAGCCACUAAAUUAUUCCAAGGUUUGGCCUCGGAUCAGGUGGGGAUACCCGCUGAACUUAAGCAUAUCAAUAAGCGGAGGA